rnacentral:rRNA from 1 species
CAUGCAAGUCGAGCGAGAAAGUGACUUCGGUCGCGAGUAAAGCGGCGAACGGGUGAGUACAACGUGGAUAAUCUACCCUGAGGUCCGGGACAACCCCGAGAAAUCGGAGCUAAUACCGGAUAAGACCACAGUAUCCGAGGAUACAGCGGUAAAAGAUUUAUCGCCUUUGGAUGAGUCCACGUCCCAUCAGGUAGUUGGUAAGGUAAAAGCUUACCAAGCCUAAGACGGGUAGCCGGCCUUAGCGGGUGAACGGCCACAUGGGGACUGAGACACGGCCCUGACUCCUACGGGAGGCAGCAGUGGGGAAUAUUGGGCAAUGGGCGAAAGCCUGACCCAGCGAUGCCGCGUGAGGGAUGAAGGCCUUCGGGUUGUAAACCUCUGUCAGGAGGGACGAUGGGACACUUGUGUCUUGACGGCACCUCCAGAGGAAGCCCCGGCUAACUCCGUGCCAGCAGCCGCGGUAAUACGGAGGGGGCAAGCGUUGCUCGGAAUUACUGGGCGUAAAGGGUCCGCAGGCUGUCAGGCAAGUUGGUUGUGAAAGCUCAAGGCUUAACCUUGGAAUUGCAUCCAAAACUGCCUGACUAGAAUCCAAGAGAGGUUGGCGGAAUUCCCGGUGUAGCGGUGAAAUGCAUAGAUAUCGGGAGGAACACCAGAGGCGAAGGCGGCCAACUGGCUUGGAACUGACG